UACAGAGGUCUCAAGCGUUGUCCGGAAUCAUUGGGCGUAAAGCGCGUGUAGGCGGCCCGGUAAGUCCGCUGUAAAAGUCCAGGGCUCAACCCUGGAAAGCCGGUGGAUACUGUCGGGCUCGAGUCCGGAAGAGGCGAGUGGAAUUCCUGGUGUAGCGGUGAAAUGCGCAGAUAUCAGGAGGAACACCGAUGGCGAAGGCAGCUCGCUGGGACGGUACUGACGCUGAGACGCGAAAGCGUGGGGAGCAAACGGG
rnacentral:rRNA from 1 species